GACGAACCGUGCGAACGUUAUUCGGAAUCACUGGGCUUAAAGCGCGUGUAGGCGGGCGGGUACGUCGGCGACUGAAAGCCCCCGGCUCAACCGGGGAAGGGGUGCCGAAACGGCCGGCCUGGAGGGGCGUAGGGGGACCUGGAACUUCCGGUGGAGCGGUGAAAUGCGUUGAGAUCGGAAGGAACGCCCGUGGCGAAAGCGAGGCCCUGGACCCUUACUGACGCUGAGACGCGAAAGCCAGGGGAGCGAACGGG
rnacentral:rRNA from 1 species